rnacentral:rRNA from 1 species
GACGAACGCUGGCGGCGUGCCUAAUACAUGCAAGUCGAGCGAAUCAAGGGGAGCUUGCUCCCUGAGAUUAGCGGCGGACGGGUGAGUAACACGUGGGUAACCUGCCUGUAAGAUUGGGAUAACUCCGGGAAACCGGAGCUAAUACCGGAUAAUAUUUUGAACCGCAUGGUUCAAAAUUGAAAGAUGGUUUCGGCUAUCACUUACAGAUGGACCCGCGGCGCAUUAGCUAGUUGGUGAGGUAACGGCUCACCAAGGCAACGAUGCGUAGCCGACCUGAGAGGGUGAUCGGCCACACUGGGACUGAGACACGGCCCAGACUCCUACGGGAGGCAGCAGUAGGGAAUCUUCCGCAAUGGACGAAAGUCUGACGGAGCAACGCCGCGUGAACGAUGAAGGCCUUCGGGUCGUAAAGUUCUGUUGUUAGGGAAGAACAAGUACCAGAGUAACUGCUGGUACCUUGACGGUACCUAACCAGAAAGCCACGGCUAACUACGU